rnacentral:rRNA from 1 species
GAUGAACGCUGGCGGCGUGCCUAAUACAUGCAAGUAGAACGCUGAAGCUUGGUGCUUGCACCGAGCGGAUGAGUUGCGAACGGGUGAGUAACGCGUAGGUAACCUGCCUCUUAGCGGGGGAUAACUAUUGGAAACGAUAGCUAAUACCGCAUAAAAGUCGAUAUCGCAUGAUGUUGAUUUGAAAGGUGCAAUAGCAUCACUAAGAGAUGGACCUGCGUUGUAUUAGCUAGUUGGUGAGGUAACGGCUCACCAAGGCGACGAUACAUAGCCGACCUGAGAGGGUGAUCGGCCACACUGGGACUGAGACACGGCCCAGACUCCUACGGGAGGCAGCAGUAGGGAAUCUUCGGCAAUGGGGGCAACCCUGACCGAGCAACGCCGCGUGAGUGAAGAAGGUUUUCGGAUCGUAAAGCUCUGUUGUAAGAGAAGAACGAGUGUGAGAGUGGAAAGUUCACACUGUGACG